rnacentral:rRNA from 1 species
UACGAAGGGGUGCUAGCGUUGUUCGGAAUCACUGGGCGUAAAGGGCGCGUAGGCGGCUCAUGAAGGCUGUGGUGAAAGUCCGGGGCUCAACCUCGGAUCGGCCGUGGCGACUCGUGGGCUGGAGCAGCUGUAGAGGCGGGUGGAAUUCCGGGUGUAGCGGUGGAAUGCGUAGAGAUCCGGAAGAACACCAGUGGCGAAGGCGGCCCGCUGGGCAGUGGCUGACGCUGAGGCGCGACAGCGUGGGGAGCAAACAGG